GACGAACGCUGGCGGCGUGCCUAAUACAUGCAAGUCGAACGCAGUGGGGACGGGUGAGUAACACGUGGUUAACCUCCCAUCAGAGGGGAUAACACUUGGAAACAGGUGCUAAACCGAUACUGAUGGAUGGUUCGGCGGUUCAUUAGCUAGUUGGUGAGGUAACGGCCCACCAAGGCCAGGAUGCAUAGCCGACCGAGGAGGGGGAUCGGCCACACGGGGACUGAGACACGGCCCAGACUCCUACGGGAGGCAGCAGUAGGGAAUCUUCGGCAAUGGACGAAAGUCUGACCGAGCAACGCGGCGUGAGUGAAGAAGGUUUUCGGAUCGUAAAACUCUGUUGUUAGAGAAGCGGUAUCUAACCAGAAAGCCACGGCUAACUACGUGCCAGCAGCCGCGGUAAUAC
rnacentral:rRNA from 1 species